rnacentral:rRNA from 1 species
GGAGGGAUCAUUACAAGUGACCCCGGUCUAACCACCGGGAUGUUCAUAACCCUUUGUUGUCCGACUCUGUUGCCUCCGGGGCGACCCUGCCUUCGGGCGGGGGCUCCGGGUGGACACUUCAAACUCUUGCGUAACUUUGCAGUCUGAGUAAACUUAAUUAAUAAAUUAAAACUUCUAACAACGGAUCUCUUGGUUCUGGCAUCGAUGAAGAACGCAGCGAAAUGCGAUAAGUAAUGUGAAUUGCAGAAUUCGGUGAAUCAUCGAAUCUUUGAACGCACAUUGCGCCCCCUGGUAUUCCGGGGGGCAUGCCUGUUCGAGCGUCAUUUCACCACUCAAGCCUCGCUUGGUAUUGGGCAACGCGGUCCGCCGCGUGCCUCAAAUCGACCGGCUGGGUCUUCUGUCCCCUAAGCGUUGUGGAAACUAUUCGCUAAAGGGUGUUCGGGAGGCUACGCCGUAAAACAACCCCAUUUCUAAGGUUGACCUCGGAUCAGGUAGGGAU